rnacentral:rRNA from 1 species
AGAAUCAACGCUGGCGGCGUGCCUCAGACAUGCAAGUCGAACGAUUAAAGCUCUCUUCGGAGAGUGUAUAGAGUGGCGCACGGGUGAGUAACACGUAAGUAAUCUACCUUUGAGUGGGGAAUAACCCGGGGAAACCCGAGCUAAUACCGCAUAAUGCAGCGGCAUCGCAAGAUGACAGUUGUUAAAGGAGCAAUCCGCUUGAAGAGGAGCUUGCGGCAGAUUAGCUAGUUGGUAAGGUAAUGGCUUACCAAGGCUACGAUCUGUAACCGGUCUAAGAGGACGGUCGGUCACACUGACACUGAAUAACGGGUCAGACUCCUACGGGAGGCAGCAGUCGGGAAUUUUGGGCAAUGGGCGAAAGCCUGACCCAGCAACGCCGCGUGAAGGAUGAAGUAUUCGGUAUGUAAACUUCGAAAGAAGUGGAAGAAUAAAUGAACGGUACCAAUUUAUAAGUCCGGUACUAACUACGUGCCAGCAGCCGC